UACGUAGGGGGCAAGCGUUGUCCGGAAUUAUUGGGCGUAAAGAGCGUGUAGGCGGUCCGGUAAGUCCGCUGUGAAAGUCGGGGGCUCAACCCUGGAAGGCCGGUGGAAACUGUCGGGCUAGAGUCCGGAAGAGGCGAGUGGAAUUCCCGGUGUAGCGGUGAAAUGCGCAGAUAUCGGGAGGAACACCAAUGGCGAAGGCAGCUCGCUGGGACGGUACUGACGCUGAGACGCGAAAGCGUGGGGAGCAAACAGG
rnacentral:rRNA from 1 species